CUUCUCUUCUAAAUGAUAAUCUUGCUGGAUAGAGUAUCCUAGGUUGCAGGAUUUCCCUUUUAGGGCUUUGAAUGUAUUAUGCCACUUCUGCCCUGCCCUGCAAAGUUUCUCCAGAGAAAUGAGCUGAUAGCCUUGUGGGGAUUCCCUUGUGUAUGACUCUCUGUUUUUCUCCUGCUGCCUUUAGAAUUCUCUUUAUAUCUUUAAUUUUGCCAUUUUAAUUAUGAUAUGUCUUGGUGUGGGCUGGUUUGGGCUCAUCUUGUUUGGCACUCUGCUUCCUGAAAUUGGAUAUGUUUCCCUUUUUAGGUUUGGGACGUUUCCAGCCAUAAUUUCUUCAAAUACAUUUUUGAUCCCUUUCUCUCUUCUUUUUGUGGAACCCCUAUAAUGUGAAUAUUGGCACAUUUUAUAUUCCAUAGAACUUGUAUGUUGUUUUCUCCCUCCCUCCCUCCCUCCCUCCCCCCCUUUCUUCUUUCUUCUGUUCUUAUUGGGUGAUUUCUGUUAUUCUAUCCUCCAGAUCACUUAUGCAUUCUUCUGUGUCAUUUAGUCUGCUAUUCAUUGCUUCUAGAGUGUUUUUAUCUCAGAGAUUGAAUUAUCAAUUUUUGAUGGGGUCUUUUAAAUUUCUAGUUCCUUGGUAGAAUGAUCUGUGCUUACCUCUACUGUCUUAAUUCAGUUAGCAUUUUUAUUACCCACUUUUCGAAUUCAUUGUCUAUCUCUUUUUCAUUAUUUAUUUCUUCAGGGGUUUUCUCUUGCUCUUUGAGUUGAGAGUAGUUCCUCUGCGUUUUCAUUUUACUUUCUCUGUCUCUGAAUUUAGGUGCAACAGUUAUCUGUUAUGGUCUUGAAGGGGUGUUUUUACGUGGGAACAUCCCUGUGUAGACUGUGUGCGCCUAAGAUCUUUGGUGUGUGGGUUGAAUUUGAUGUGGAUGCCAGCCCACUACUUUCCUCAGGAUGUGAUGACAACUACCACCUUGAUUGCGGGGGGCGGGGUACGGCUGGCGUUGGAGGAGCCAAAGACUGUGUAGGGUGUGAGGCGAGACUUGCUGUCUCCUCACUGGCCACAGCCGCCCUGUUGGGUGGGGUCUGCUCCCAAGCUGCUGGAGUGGAAGCCCUGAGGGUCGGGCUGGAGCUGGCUCUGUUCCCUUCAAGUGUGUGUUUUUCCGUCUCCCCACACUGGAACCUUUGCCCCGAAGGAGGGGAGUGCUGAAAUAAGCAGGGUUUGUGUGCUUACAGAUGUCCAGCGUGCUGCUUGUGUAGGUAUCUGCAGUCACGCUCAGAACCAGAUCAGGGUUGUCUUUUCCCCUACUGCGGUGGUCUCAGCUCUGGUGUAAGGAGUGGGUGGGGCUGGAGUGCUUGCUUGGGGAUCAUGGCAUUGUGGUUGCAGGAAUCGAAGUGGCUGCACUGUCAUGAGAAGUCUGGGCUACUUCUGUGGCGCUGAGUAAGCGCCAGCAAUGGCCGCCACUCAGCCUGUACCAUACCCCAGGCCCGUGGGUCACCUCUGUGUCCGUAGAUUGAGUCUUUUUCCAGGAUGUGGCUGCCCUAGAUUCACUGCCAAGCUGUGGUGUGGAGUGAGUGGGGCCAGGGGGUUCAAUCAGCUUGGGUCAGAGACUGUGGCAAGGUGACAGCUGCUAGGGCAGACCUCUCUCCGCCCUGUUUGGGGGCAAGCCAGCACUGCGUACUCCUCGCCAGUGCAGUCCAGGCUUCUCCAGCCUUUCUGUGUGUCACAGCUGUUCUCCAGGCAGCCAAAGGGCCUUGCCUCCUCUGUAUAAGACCGCAGGACUAGAAUGCCCAAUCUGUCUCUCAACCUGCUCACUCCCCAGGGUGAAUGUCCACCUGUAUGACAUUCCUGUACCUCUUAGUUCCCUCCUGGGGCACAGGUCUCGACCCGGUGCUUUUCCUCCCAUCCUACCUGGGAUGGGAUUAUGGGGGAAUCUUUCUUGCAGCCUUGGUUGUAUAGGAGUCCUUCUGCCAGUUUCCACGUAGUUUUUGGUGAGAAUUGUUCUACAUGUAGAUGUAUUUUUUGAUUUGCGGGGGGAGGUGAGCUCUACAUCCUCUUACUCUGCCAUCUUGAUCACCCUCCCACUCUCCUUCUCCCUCCUUUCCUCCUCUCAUUCUCUCCCUUUCCCUACUCAGGGAACUCUGUGGUACUUGGGGUCAUUUCUCAUCUGUACCCCAGAAGUCUUUGGAGCUAACAGGAGUUUUGUGCAUACUCACCUGGGCUUGGACCCGUCAUCUUCAUAACCACAUGCCCCAGACUCAUGGACUUGGCUCCUUUCAAACAAUGUCCAUAUUGGCAGCUUUCAUCCAUUCAUUCAACAAAUACUUACUCGAGGCCUGCCCUACGCUCAGUCGUGGUCUGGGGUUGCUUUGGUAAACAAGACCGGUGUGGCCCUUACUCUCAUGAAGGUUAGUGAGGGGAGAAAGGAAUGAGCAAAUACACCAGGUGAUUUUGAUGGUAAGUGCUGUGAAGAAAAGAAAGCAGGCUGAUGCGGGAGAAAGUGACUGAGGUGGUCAAGACAGGCCUCACAAAGAGGUGACGCUCGAGACCUAGAUGAUCAGACUGUACCAGAUCACCAGGCAGGUUUCUCUGUUGAAAAUAACAGGAUCCGACUCUAGUUAACGUAAGCACUGGAAGGGUACUGGGUACUUCAGAGAAUGGGCGGAAGGCCUGGAAAAUUAGGCCAGCACAGAGGCGGUUGCUAAGGGAGGUUGGCCAGAACACUGACCAAAAUCAUGCUACAGCUGUUUCUUGUUAGGACCCAGCCACCUCUGCUCUGGAUACUGACCUCGAACCCUGGACCCACAGGCACACCACCACCAGAGGGACCUCCAAACUGGGCCUGAUUACCGCAGACCACAGGUUGUUCACAGUUUCAGGACUGUUUCUGCAGCCGUCACAUGAUAGCAAAACGGUGGUAAGCAGUGCACGAGUCGUCGAAGACAGCCAGAGUCCAUGCAUCGGGAGGUUCUCUCGGUUGGAGAACGAACAAAGGGAGGACAUGCUCGGGCCAGGAGAUGCAGUUCCUCGCUCUCGCCACUAGAGGUCAGGAGGUUACCGCUUCAGGGUUGGAAGGCGGGCCCGUGGGGGAUCGGCUAGUGGUGGCGGUGGGUGCUGAGACUAGGCAGGGGGGUGGGGGUAGCGGUGGAUGCCACACCUGGUGACCCCCUGGUUAUUGACAUCUGACUUUGGAAUGACUUUGUUUUGUUUGGCGUCAAAUUCACCGUCUUUGUGGGGCUGAGGGACCAGAGGAAAGAUGCCAGCUUGGGGUCAAAGGGAGAGCUCACACUGCAGCUUCUCAAAGCGCCUUUUUCUCUAACAAACAGAGAUAAAACCUGCAAGGGGUCCAGAACAGUGCCAGGGUCCUAGUGAAGGUUCUCCCUGGGAGGUCUUCUACCCAGUGCCCCAUCCUCCACUCGGGCUAGCUGUCCAGGAGCCCCACCUCCCAGCCUGACUGUCCCUGUGGUCAGCUGGGACCAUGGUUAAGGACCAAAUCUGCUCUUGCACAGUCCAGGGCAGUAGAAGACCUUGGACUAGGUGCCAGGUGUCCUGGGUUCUUAUCCCAACUGGAUCCUGUGUAGGCCCCUUCUGCUUGCUACUUCUGUGGCGCAAGUAAGUGGCGCUAAGUGGCCUUAGUUUCCCCAUGUGUCUAACAAGGAAGUUGUACUAGGUGAGGCUCUAGGUGUACUUCUAACUUGGCCAUUCAGCAUUUCCGUGUGUUUACAGGGAAUUCGUGAAGCUCCUCUCUGAAUGAGAAACCUGCCCCCCACCCAAAAGGCAAAGCUAAGACGAUAACCCAGAGUUCACCCAGACACAAGGUUCCUCAUAAAUAGACUCAGCCUCUCUGAAUCUCCUUCCUCAUCUGUCAGAUGGCAAUUAAACCCAUCUCACAGGGCUGUGAAGAUUCAUCAAGACGACAGUGGUUGUAAAACCCUUAGCACACACAAAGCCUCCUUAGGGAAAACCAGGACUGCCUGACCAGCAAAGUUUGCCAGUUGACCUGAUGCUUAAGCUUGGAGCGAGAGGCAGGAUCCAUCCUCCAGCUUCCUCAGGAGGAGAAAGAUCAAAGAAACUCCACUCACCCUUCAAGGCCUUGCUAAAGCAUCACUUCCUCCAGGAACCCCUCCCUGCUCUCCCAGCCGAGUCAGCAGAGUCCACAGAACGUGCAGGUGGGUCAGGCUGGUCUUGGCAUUCCUCACAACCCCAUUGUAAUGGUUUGUUUCCAGCUCCCUGACUAGAUGGGCACCUCCCUGAGGGCAGGCCCAGGGUCUCAUUCAUCCCCAGGGGCCUGUGGGAUCAUUGAGUGAAGCGCUUUGCCUGUGCCCACGUUCACUGGGAGCUCCAGGAUCUUUACCAGACUCCUGGCUCUCAGGUCAACUUUUCCCACCCACCCAGUCAUGCCAGAGAUGAACAGAUGUAGUCAGAACCUCCUUUUGGGAAUGAACUUUCUUCAGAGUCCUGUCUUGUCCCUGCCCAAAUUCUCCUUCUCUUACUGCCCCUCUUCCUGAUGGCACCCCCGCGCUCUCAGCCUGGAGGCCCCUGCGACUCACUGCUGACCUCUAGUAGGGUCCUUGUCUUCUGGACAGCCCCAUCUGCUUCCUCCGGGUGGGUGCUGAGGCCAGGGUCCUCCUCUUCCACCUCUGGCCCUCUCAGGCCCCAGGGGGGCGAAAGCAGGCCCAGCUCUCUGCCCCCGCUGUCCCUCGGAGGGGCUGGGCCUUCCAUGGCCUCUAAGCGGGGGCUGCAGUGGCUCUGUGUCCAAGCAGGUGUCCUGGAUCUCCCCAAACAUGGGGGCGAGGCCCUUAGUGGCAGCUGAGGAAGCCCAGGGCCAGGCCUGUGCUGGGCCGGGCAGGGGUGGGUGCAGCGGGCAGGUGGGGUGGGUCAGUCGCUGAGCACGGCCCCCGGGAGCUCGUUGGUGAGCGUGUGCCAGCGCUCGAUCCGCUUGUCCUUGUUCUUCAGGCAAUCAAACCAGUGCUUCAGGCGCUCGCCCUUGGCAUUGAUGCCCAGAACCACGCCGCCUGCAGAGGGGAGCCGAGAGGCAGCCAGGACACGGUGACCUCUGACUCUCAGGGUCUCUCUGGAACCAGUACCCCCUGGCACCCCUCCCAGACUUUGUGCUCCACGGCCAGACUCUCUUCCCUGCCCACCUGCUCUGAGGGUGGACUGUGGUCUGACUGCCCCACUCUUGGAGCCCCCACUCCCCCAAUCAGGGCCCAGGGAUCCUGCUCUUCCUUUACCCAGGACCAGAGCAGUACCUGCGGGGCAGCACAGUGGCUUGUGUUGGUGCUAGGGCAGCUCCACUGUGCACAGCCACCAAGCCCACCACAGAUUUGGGGCCACAAGGGCUCAGAGUCCAGCCUGAGGGGCUGACCAUCAUCACCUUUUACCCCUGCUCCACCACAGACUGCUGUGUGACUCGGCCAGGCCUCUUUCUCUCUCUGGGCCUCUUUCUCUGUCACAUGGGGUCAGGCUGGAUCACGUCUAUGGCCCCAACUUUCCCCAAAGGCCAGGAAGGCGGGACUGUGGCCUGAUUCAGGGCCCCUGCCCUUUGCUGAACCCAGGAUGGGCAUGUUGCUAAACAGCAUUCCCAUCGUGUCCUCUCACCGAUGAAAUCGUUGGAUUUUCCAAUGUCAUAAUCCCAAACGGUGAUCUCCAGGGUCUUCUUGGCCAGGUCCCCGUGCUUAAUCUCAUAACAGAAUUCCUGGUGGCCAGAAGGGGAGUGUCAGGACCAAUGACACACGGCCUGUAAGUCGGCUGGUGGCCAGGAGGGUGGGCAGUGCACAGCAGUGGAUGAUAAUGGAUUCUCACCCAUCUCACCCACUUCCAUCUGAGAGCCCAGCUGAGCUCCUCAGGGUCCCCUUCCUUCUGACCCACCUGCCCCUUUGUCACUGAAGCUGCUUUUCUCAGGAUCCAAGAGUCUCCUUAUUGCAAGUCAGCGCACACUUGGCGGCCUUGGCAUGCUUGAUCUCUCUUGGGUCUGAUUCUGCUGACCACUCCCUUCUUUGUGGAACCCUCUCCCACCAGCUUCCAGGAUCCUUCAACAUCUGGUGUCCCCCUCUCUCCCUGGCAGCACCUCCUCGGCCUUCUCUGCCUGCACCCGAGUCACUCAGGCUCUGUCAGAGGCUCCCCUCCCUCAUCUCGUUCUUUGGAGCUCCUUUCCGGCUGCACCCACCCCCUGGGCUGAGGACCUGGGUAUCUAUCUGCCCCCACCUUCCUGGGGCCGCUCACAUCCUCACACCACCCCCUCCACAUCUAACAUGGCUACAAUCCCAUCAAUUCAAUCCUCCGAAGAGUUUUCCAGGCCGCUCCUCACUUCUGUCUGUACCACCUUGGCCUGGUUCAGCCUGGCCUCACUUCUCCCACCAGUCCUCCUACCCCACGGCUGGGGGCUCUCCUGUCAGUCCGUCUCCAACCUCCAGCUCCCACAGUGACCCUUGAAAAACCCAGUCCCUCCGGGGUCCCCUGUCCUGAGGGAGAGUGAGUGGCUCAUGGCUUCCCCAGCCUCUCGUACCUCGUUGAACUCUGGGUUUAGGGUUUUCUUCUUUACCGCUGUCUUAUGUUUGGAUUUCUUGUCCACAUCUGGCUUCAGGUAUCUGGAAUUAUAACCAAUCAAUAGGCAGAGAGUGAGAAGAUACUGAGCAUACAUGGAGCCAGCAGGGCUUGGAAGAGAGAGAUUCCCAGGCCUCCCGUUCAUCCUAACCCUCGGAUGUCCCCAGCACUACUCUGUGACAAAGGUGAGCAGUCAGUGCAGUGGGAGAAGCAAUGGGUCCUUCAUCACCUGGACCUCUGUUCACAGCCCAUUUCUGACAUCACAGAGCCCCUCCAUCCCCUAGGAAAGAGAAUUUUUUUUAUUUCUGGAAGUCUAAUUUUCACAGCUCUCAUUUCCCACCAGAAAAACAUUUUUAGCAAAGUUGGUCCCUUGCUAGAGCUCUUUUUGUAAUAGCAGAUUAUGGAGAUAGAAU